rnacentral:snoRNA from 1 species
GGCCUGUGAUGUAAGCUAAAAUAUUUGCUACUCUUGAUGGGGAUUCCCAGUUGAUGAUCUCAUACCACCAAGAUCUCUGAGGCC